AAUAAGCUAAUUAAGAGCGUAAGGUGGAUGCCUUGGCUCUCAGAGGCGAUGAAGGACGUGAUAAGCUGCGAUAAGUUACGGGGAUUGGCACACACAAUUUGAUCCGUAGAUUUCCGAAUGGGGAAACCCACUAUAUUGAAGAUAUAGUAUCCGUUAAGGAAGCAAACCCAGGGAACUGAAACAUCUAAGUACCUGGAGGAAUAGAAAACAAAAGUGAUUCCGCUAGUAGUGGCGAGCGAACGCGGAUCAGCCCAAACCAAAAUUGUUUCGGCAAUUUUGGGGUUGUAGGACCACGACAUUGAAUGUUUAAUGAAUUAG
rnacentral:rRNA from 1 species